rnacentral:lncRNA from 1 species
UUUAGCUCUGCGCGAGAACUGGGAAAUUUAAUUGUGACCUCCAAUCUAAUCGACUCUGCUUUGACUAAAAUUCUUGAGCUUCAAAGAGACCAAACAGCCUUGCCUUCCCCCGUUCAAUACAGAGUUUUUUAUCCAUCUCCCAAGUGCACAAUUGUAGCUUUUGUCUCUUCACCUGACUGCACUCAAAACCCUCUUCCUGGACAAGGAGAUUUAGUUCCCUCUCCUCUCUUUGACUUCCUCUGCACCGAAGAAUACCCUUCCGUCUCCAUUAACGGAGCCGCAUUAACCCUCUUUACCUCUCUCUACGAUCAUCUCUCUGGACUAAUAGAUGAGGUCAAAAUCUGAUACUUGUUUUAAUUUACGUUAACUUUUCGUUAACAAUUGUGAGACACGAAACAGCUUGACCAUGAGAUCUCCCUCAUGGAGUCAAAACCCGUGUUGGUAUCUGUUUUUAGAUCAACUUAUAUAUAUAUAUAUAUAUAUAUAUAUAUAUCUUGUGGAUAAAAGGAAAGUUUACAAGUGAGAAUAGUGGCAUUUUUCUGACAGAUUUCACACCGUUGCUUGUUUUGCAGUUGACUGUGAUUGAAGGUCGAUUAAUCAUCACUGGGCACUCGAUGGGAGGAUCCGUUGCUUCUCUCUUCACCUUAUGCCUGCUAGAAGUCAUUAAUAUAUCAAAACCCAAAUGCCGCCCCAUUUGCAUCACCUUUGGUUCACCCCUCAUAGGCGACUUUGGCCUCCAACACUCCAAUUGGAAUUCUUUCUUCUUGCAUGUAGUGUCCAACCAAGAUCUAGUCCCCGGACUCUUCCUCCCAUCCGGCAGAUCUCCUCCCACAUCCUCCCAUUCACAAACUACUGGUUACAAGCCCUUUGGGACAUAUCUCUUGUGCUCUGAACUUGGUUGUGCUUGUUUUGACAACCCUGAUUUAAUUUUGGAAUUGCUGAAAGUCAUAUCAUCAGAGGUUGCCGGAGGAUUGCGGGAUGUUGAUUACAGGAAGAUUUUAAUAAACCUCAAGGAGAGGGCAAUCUUCAAGGGACUUCAGCAGGUGGGUGAAAGGUUUGCAGAUCCCUUGUCAGCUGGGAUCGUCAUGGACCUUGAGAUAAUUGGAUUUGAUCAAACAAAGGUAAACAGCUUUCUCCCAAUUAAUGAUGUAGUAUGGUUUACACUCAACUUCACCAAAACCUGCAACAACUGCCCUAUUUAGAUUUGCCUUCCUGUUCUUUGGGUUCUUCUAUAACUUCUCAUUUUUUAAAUUCAUGGCAGCUGUUGCGGCACAACAUUGAUAUCAACACUGUGAUAAGGAUACUGGGAGUGGAAGCCAGAAUCCUAGCCCACAAAAAUAAAGCUUCUGAUGCCAAGAAACUGAAUGACAUAAAAAUACACAUGGCCCAGCUAGAAUGGUAUAAGAAGAAAUCAAAAGAUCUGAACAAGGGUUACUACGACUGCUUCAAAAACCAGGGGUCAAAAAGGGACAUUAAAAUUGAACAGUAUAGGGGACACCUCACAAUAUACUGGAAAGACAUGGUUGCACAAGUACAGAGGAAGCCCCAGAAGGAAGGAGCAUCAUUUCGAACCAGUUGGCUCUAUCCAGGGACAACUUAUAGAAGAAUGGUUGAACCACUGGACAUUGCUGCCUUCUACAGAGAGGGUAGAACAGACUACAUAAACAAUGGAAGAUCUCCUCAUUACAAGCUGUUGCAGCAAUGGUAUGAGGAAGAUGUGAAGCCCCCAUCCAGAGAUAAGCUCGAUUCCAAGAAACUAAAGGUGUCUGGUAUCCUAACUGAGGAUUCUUUGUUUUGGGCACAUGUGGAGGAGGCUCUCUUGUCAUGCGAAUCGCUCAAGAGUGCAAACUCUACUCUUGAGCAGAGAAAAUCAUCAUGGGAUAAUCUGGUUAAGUUUGGGGAGUAUGUAAUGGAACAGAUUGGAAACUAUGCAGUGUCCCCUGAGAUUUUCUUGGGGGAAAGCAGCUUCAUGAAAUGGUGGGGAGUGUAUGAGGACUACAUAGAUGCUUCCAAUAAUUCCUAUGGGUCACCAUUGAUCAGCUUUAUGAAGAACCGUAGUUAUAGACUGUAUGGUUAGAGGGCAAUCCAGUUUGUGUAUUGUGUUUAUUGUAUUGUGAGCAUUCAAUAGAUAAAACUAGAAAGAGCGUGACCUUUUUAUGACAACUUUAGAAACCAGGGGUUAAAAGAGACAUUACAAACUGAAGUUUUUGAGAGGAAACCUCAAGAGUAUACUGGGAAGCCAUGGUGGAACAAGUAGAGAGGAAGCCUCAGAAGGAAGGAGCAAUGGUUGAACCACUUGACAUUGUUGCCUACUACAGGGAGGGUGUAAGAAACAACAUAACCGAGGGAAGAUCUGAACGUUAAACGUUGUCCAAUUAUUAUAAAUGUCUUAUACAUUACGUGUGAAAAUACCAAAAAAAAUUAUAUUCAACAUUUAUGUUUGUAUACAAGCAAUAUUUUGGAUAGUUUGAUAUAAAAAACAAAUGAAGAAAAUGAAGAAAAACAUACAAAUAUAUUUACAAUGGACAAACUUAUACAAUUAGUAUAAAUGUCUUGUAUAUUUAGUACAAAUGUCUCGUACUUUGUAAAAAUAUAAAAAUAUAGUAUUUGACUUUUAUAUAUGUGUGAAAAUGUAAAAAGAAAAAGAAAAAUAGUUAGAGCAUUUGGUACCGUGAGUGAUGACUUCACCUAAAGAAAGGUUAAUGAAUAUUAUGGUCUCGAUGGAAGAGCGACUCCGGUAAAAUAUAUGGAUUAAAUUGAUGCUUUUCUUUUGACGAUGAAGUAGUUGAGUUAUGAAUACGAGGUUUUGCUAACAGCAUUGAAGGCAAGGAUUCCCUAAUAUACUCCAAUUCAUAUUCAAUUUGUAGACCUUCAACUAACUACUCUUGCUAACGAGCAUAUCCAAGUCAAUACAUAAGAUUAAUUAAGAUUAAGUAUUACGUAUGAUAAUUGAAACCCUAUUUAAAUAAAUAAUGACACAUAUAUAAAAAAUAUAUAUAUUUUUAAAAAAAUAAAUAACAAUUUAGAGAAUUUCAUAACUUAGCAUCAAACCUAUUGUAAGAAAGAGUAUUAUACAAUGUAGGGUUUAGGAUCCAAGUCAACCUAAGAUCAAAUUUAAGUUUUAAGAUCAAUUCACAUUCAAAACUAAGGUUUUAAGUUUCAAAAAUAUAUUUCUUAAACCAAUUAAAUGGAAAAAAGAAAAUUACAAAGAAAAUUUCUCCCUCAUCAGUUUCUUUUAUCUUGAAAACUAAAGGAAAUAUAUAUCAAUAUUUGAGAUGGAAAUUCAUAAUCUUAGGUGGUGUUUGUUUUUUUGGCUUUUUGCUGAAAACUAUUUAGUUUUAGAAUUUAGGUUUUUUUUUUUUUUUACUUUUUCAUGACUUAUAAUAAACUUUUUACUAAAUAGAAAAAACCAAAAUAUGUGGUUUUUUCUAAAUAGAAAAAAUAACACAAUGGUUUUUUUUACUUUUUAAUACUUAAUAGAAAUAAAAUACUACAAAAACAAACAUCUUAAUAUUUAAUACUAUUAAGUAUUAAGGUUCUAUUUAGAAUUAAGUAAAAAAACAAACACCACCUUAGAAACACAAAGAACAAAGAGAGUAUGAAGAGACCAUACCAUGAGAGAUUUUCCGAAAGGUUGGUAAACCAUGGUAAUCACCUUUGAGUCUUGCUGAGAAAAACAAACCUUAUUUAUUUUUAUUUUUUUAUCAUUUUUUCUCUUGUGUGGUGUACAUUUAAGAAAAACAAAUCUCAAAAAAAAAAAAAAACACAAACCAAAUAAUGCCAGAAUUUGGGUUGAGAAACACCCAAAAGAUAGUGGCCCAAUACAUGUGCCUAAGAAAAUCUUCAUGAGCCGAUAAACAUAGUCACAAAACUAGUAACAGCCUUGUAGCCAUAGUUGGUGUAGUAUGAGCAAGUGGGGUAUGAAGUAGGUAGGUGAGUAUUGCAAUGAAAUUUCCAGCACUGCUUCCUGAAUUAAGAAAUCACAUACCCAAGUCUUAGUCGUCGUCGUCGUCGUACCGUGUGAGAACCGGGAAGAAUCUUUGCUCGUAGACUGGCUUUUGUAGUCUUUCUUUAACAAUUACAAGUUAUCUGAAUUCCCUUCAUCCUCCUAUAUAAUAUUGUUUUGGUCUUGUUCUUGUUGCAUUGUGGCUAGGCAUCUCCAUGGAAGGAAGGAGGAUGAAUCAAGUUCCUUUGUAUGAAUCAAUUUCUCUGCUCUUUUUUUUUUUCAAUCCUUGAAUCGAAUCAUUGCUUAGUUCUUGCUUUAAUUUCUCCAUUUUCUGUUGGGUCUUUGAUUGCAGGUUUAGCUCUGCAAGAGAACUGGGAAAUUUAAUUGUGACCUCCAAUCUAAUCGACUCUGCUUUGACUAAAAUUCUUGAGCUUCAAAGAGACCAAACAGCCUUGCUUUCCCCCGUUCAAUACAGAGUUUUUUUAUCCAUCUCCCAACUGCACAAUUGUAGCUUUUGUCUCUUCACCUGACUGCACUCAAAACCCUCUUCCUGGACAAGGAGAUUUAGUUCCCUCUCCUCUCUUUGACUUCCUCUGCACCGAAGAAUACAAGUCCGUCUCCAUUAACAGAGCUGCAUUAACCCUCUUUACCUCUCUCCACGAUCAUCUCUCUGGACUAAAAACUCAGGUCAAAAUAUGAUAGUUGUUUUUAUUUUCGUUUCCUUUUUGUUAACAAUUGUGAGACAUGAAACAGCUUGACCAUGAGAUCUCUCUCAUAGAGUCAAACUACCUGAAGAAGAAGAAGACGUUACACAUAUCCAUCUGCGUUGCAUCAUCGCAUUACCCAUUGAUCGGUUGUGAUUCAACUCUUAAUAGGAAGACAGUAGAACUGGUGUUGGUAUCUGUUUUUAGAUCAGCUUAUAUGUAUCUUGUUGCUAAAAAGGGAAUGUUUAGAAGUGAGAUUAAUGGGAUUAUUCUGACAUGGAUUUCAUAUGGUUACCUGUUUUGCAGUUGACUGUGAUUGAAGGUCAAUUAAUCAUCACUGGGCACUCCCUGGGAGGAGCCGUUGCUUCUCUCUUCACCUUAUGCCUGCUAGAUGAAAAUUUAUUAAAACCCAAAUGCCGCCCCUUUUGUAUCACCUUUGGUUCACCCCUCGUCGGCGGCUUUGGCCUCCAACACUCCAUAUGGAAUUCUUUCUUCCUGCAUGUAGUGUCUAACCAAGACCCAGUCCCCGGUCUCUUCCUCCCAUCUGGCAGAGGCAGAUCUACGCCCACAUCCUCCCAUUCACAAACUACCGGUUACAAGCCCUUUGGGACAUAUCUCUUGUGCUCUGAACUUGGUUGUGCUUGUUUUGACAACCCUGAUUUAAUUUUGGAAUUGCUGAAAGUCAUAUCAUCAGAGGUUGCCGGAGGAUUGCAGGAUGUUGAUUAUGGGGAGAUUUUAAGAAACCUCAAGGAGAGGGCAAUCUGCAAGGGACUUCCGCAGGUGGGUGAAAGGUUUGCAAAUCCAUUUUCAGCUGGGAUCAUCAUGGAACUUGAGACAAUUGGAUUUAAUCAAACAAAGGUAAACAGCUUUCUCCCAUCUAAUGAUGUUAUGGAACAUGGUUUACACCUCAUUAAAUACUGCAACAACUGCCCUAUUUAGAUUUACCUUCUUGUUCUUUGGGAUUUUCCAUAACUAGACUCAUUUUUUAAUUUCAUGGCAGCUGCUGCAGCAUAACAUUGAUAUCGAGACUGUGAUAAGCGCAAUGGAAGCGGAAGCAAGAAACCUAACCCAGAAAAAUAAAGCUUCCGAUGCCAAGAAACUGAAUGAAAUAAAAAUAGACAUGACCCGGCUAGAAUUGUAUAAGAAGAAUUCGAACAUGGGUUACUACGAUUGCUUCAAAAACCAGGGGUCUAAAAGGGACAUCCACGUUGAACAGUUUAGGGUAAACCUCACAGGGUACUGGGAAGGCAUGGUUGCACAAAUACAGAGGAAGCCUCAUAAGGAAGGAGCAACAUUUCGAACCCGUUGGCUCUAUGCAGGGACGGUUUAUAGAAGAAUGGUUGAACCACUGGACAUUGCUGCCUUCUACAGAGAGGGUAGAAAAGACUACAUGAAUAAAAGAUCUGCACAUUACAAGCUGUUGCAGGAAUGGUAUGAGGAAGAUGUGAAACCCCCCUCUAGAGAUAAGCUUGAUUCCAAGAAGCAAAAGGUGUCCAGUAUCCUAACUGAGGAUUCUUGCUUUUGGGCACAUGUGGAGGAGGCUAUCUUGUCAUGCGAAUUGCUCAAGAGUGAAAACUGUAAUCUUGAGGAGGGAAAAUCAUCAUGGGAUAAUCUGGUUAAGUUCGAGGAGUAUGUAAUGGAACAGAUUGACAACUAUGCAGUGUCCCCUGAGAUUUUCUUGGAGAAAAGCAGCUUCAUGAAAUGGAGGGGACUGUAUGAGGGCUACAUAGAUACUCGCAGUAAUUCCCAUAGCUCGCCAUUGAUCAGCUUUAUGAAGAAUCGUAGUUAUAGACAAUAUGGAUAGAGGGGUAAUCCAGUUUGUGUGUUGUGUGUAUUGUUUUGUGAGCAUUCAAUGGAUAGAACUAGAAAGAGUGUGACCUUUUCCUUUUUUUUUUCAGUUGCUGCCCAUAUUCUCAGCACUAUUUUCUUCCUUCUUUUCCUCAGUUUUUUUGUUAAGAAAUGAAUAUUAUGAUGUUGCCGGGAUGCACUUUCAUUUUUGUUCCAUUACAUUGUGUUUUAUUCAUAUCCUAAACAAAUAAAUGUAAACAAGAAAAUCAAAUGAGACUUCAAAGAGUCUGUUCCUUUUAAAGCAAGGGAAAAAAAGGACAUGUUUGUUUACUUCCACAGCUGGGUAGAUUCAACUCCACCAAAAUUGGCAACAACUUCCCAUUGAAAAAUUCCUUUUAAGCUUGAAUGACAUAAAACUAGAUAUGUUCCAGCUAGAAUGGUACAAGAAAGAAAUCAAAAGAUGAGCACAAUGGGUUAUUAUGACAGCUUUAGAAACCUGGGGUGUAAAAGAGACAUUAAAAUGGAACCGAGGGGAAGACAUUGUAGAACAAGUAAAGAGGAAGCCUCACCAGGAAGGGCAGCUUUGCAAACCCUCUGGCUCUGUACAGGAACGAAUUAUAGAAAGAUGGUUGAACCACUUGACAUUGCUGCCUACCACAGAGAGGGUGGAAGAAACUACAUAACCAAUGGAGGAUGUAAACAUUACACGCUAUUAGAGCAAUGAUGCAAUGAAGAGAAGGGGACUUUGUCUUCCAAUAAUUUAAGAAAAUAAAACCAAAUAAUGCCAGAAUUUGGGUUGAGAAACACCCAAAAGAUAGUGGCCCAAUAUGAAGUAGUCACAAAACUAGUAACAGCCUUGUGGCCAUAGUUGGUGUAGUAUGAGCAAGUGGGGUAUGAAGUAGGUAGGUGAGUAUUGCAAUGAAAUUUCCAGCACUGCUUCCUGAAUUAAGAAAUCACAUACUCAAGUCUUAAUCGUUGUCAUCAUACCGUGUGAGAACCGAGGAAGAAUCUUUGCUCUUAGACUGGAUUUUGUAGUCUUUCUUUAACAAUUACAAGUUAUCUGAAUUCCCUUCAUCCUCCUAUAUAAUAUUGUUUUUGGUCUUGUUCUUGUUGCAUUGUGGCUAGGCAUCUCCAUGGGAGGAAGGAGGAUGAAUCAAGUUCCUUUGUAUGAAUCAAUUUCUCUGCUCUUUUUUUUUUCAAUCCUUGAAUCGAAUCAUUGCUUAGUUCUUGCUUUAAUUUCUCCAUUUUCUGUUGGGUCUUUGAUUGCAGGUUUAGCUCUGCAAGAAAACUGGGAAAUUUAAUUGUGACCUCCAAUCUAAUCGACUCUGCUUUGACUAAAAUUCUUGAGCUUCAAAGAGACCAAACAGCCUUGCCUUCCCCCGUUCAAUACAGAGUUUUUUAUCCAUCUCCCAACUGCACAAUUGUAGCUUUUGUCUCUUCACCUGACUGCACUCAAAACCCUCUUCCUGGACAAGGAGAUUUAGUUCCCUCUCCUCUCUUUGACUUCCUCUGCACCGAAGAAUACAAGUCCGUCUCCAUUAACAGAGCUGCAUUAACCCUCUUUACCUCUCUCCACGAUCAUCUCUCUGGACUAAAAACUCAGGUCAAAAUAUGAUAGUUGUUUUUAUUUUCGUUUCCUUUUUGUUAACAAUUGGGAGACAUGAAACAGCUUGACCAUGAGAUCUCUCUCAUAGAGUCAAACUACCUGAAGAAGAAGAAGACGUUACACAUAUCCAUCUGCGCUGCAUCAUCGCAUUACCCAUUGAUCGGUUGUGAUUCAACUCUUAAUAGGAAGACAGUAGAACUGGUGUUGGUAUCUGUUUUUAGAUCAGCUUAUAUGUAUCUUGUUGCUAAAAAGGGAAUGUUUAGAAGUGAGAUUAAUGGGAUUAUUCUGACAUGGAUUUCAUAUGGUUACCUGUUUUGCAGUUGACUGUGAUUGAAGGUCGAUUAAUCAUUACUGGGUACUCGAUGGGAGGAUCCGUUGCUUCUCUCUUCACCUUAUGCCUGUUAGAAGUCAUCAAUUUAUCAAAACCCAAAUGCCGCCCCAUUUGUAUCACCUUUGGUUCACCCCUCAUAGGCGACUUUGGCCUCCAACACUCCAAUUGGAAUUCUUUCUUCUUGCAUGUAGUGUCCAACCAAGAUCUAGUCCCCGGACUCUUCCUCCCAUCCGACAGAUCUCCUCCCACAUCCUCCCAUUCACAAACUACUGGUUACAAGCCCUUUGGGACAUAUCUCUUGUGCUCUGAACUUGGUUGUGCUUGUUUUGACAACUCUGAUUUAAUUUUGGAAUUGCUGAAAGUCAUAUCAUCAGAGGUUGCCAGAGGAUUGCGGGAUGUUGAUUACAGGAAGAUUUUAAGAAACCUCAAGGAGAGGGCAAUCUGCAAGGGACUUCCGCAGGUGGGUGAAAGGUUUGCAAAUCCAUUUUCAGCUGGGAUCAUCAUGGAACUUGAGACGAUUGGAUUUAAUGAAACAAAGGUAAACAGCUUUCUCCCAUCUACUGAUGUUAUGGAACAUGGUUUACACAUCAUUAAAUACUGCAACAACUGCCCUAUUUAGAUUUAGGGCAAUGAUGAAAAUAUCAGUAAUCACGGAUAUAUCAGUAUUUCGAUUUUACGGAUAUAUCGGAUAUAUCGGAGAUAUAUCGGUAGAUAUUUUGAAAAAAAAUAUCGGCAAGCUUAAAAUUGUUAAAAACUCAUGAAAAUAUAAGAAAAUCUCAUAAUAAUAUAAUUAAAAGUAUAAUAGACAUUUUAAAGUUAUUUUAUUGAAAAUUUUGAUAUAUGUAUAACAUGAUUUAUCAUAUUUGAUAAUAAUAUCGUAUGCGUCGAUAAAAAUAUGAAUUUUAUAAGUGUACAUUUAUUAUUAAAUUACACCUAAUAUUAUGAUAUCUGAUUAUAAUAUGUCUAAUUUUAAAAUAUAUAUUAGUAUUAAAAUAUGAUCCAUUUAAUUCAAUUGUAUUAAACAAUAUAAAAUAAAUAAUGAUAUAUAUAUAUAUAUAUAUAAUUUUUUAAUAUUUAAUUAAUUAUUAAUGAUAUUAAAAACAUUAUGAAGAAAAUUAUAUAAUUUUUUAAUUUUUGGUAAUUAAUUAAAAGACUUUGCAUUUAAUUAUAAAUUAAUUAUAAUUAAUUUACUCUUUAAAAUAUUCUUAUAUUUUCUUUAUAUAAUGAAUUUAAGUAUAUAUAUAGUUGUUGCAUAUUAUAUAUUAAAGGACAACUUAGCCCAAGUGGUAAGCGAGUGAACCCCAAUGUGAGGCAUUGUAGCACGUGCACUGUAGCAUCACUGUAGCGACUCUGACUUUCGUUGACCCGCAUUGACUACACGAUAUAUCGGAGAAAAAUCACUGAUUUAUCGCCAAAUCACCAAUAAAUCGCCGAUUUCUCGCGAUAAAUACCAAAAUAUAGUGUCGAAACCCUUCGAUACACGAUUUUUCGGCGCAUUUUCUUACUUGGAUUUACCUUUUUGUUCUUUGGGAUCUUCCAUGACUCAUUUUUUAAUGCCAUUUUAUUUUCCUUUUUGUUUCUAAAUUUUUAAAAAAUCGUUUUCACUUCUUUUUUUUAAGAAAAUUUUGGCAAAUUUUGAAAAUAUAAUAUUAGUGUUUUCACUUCUUUCUUUUUUUUUUUUUUCUUUUUUUUUUUAAACUCAAUUUUCUAAAAAAUGAAAAUAGAAAAACAUUGUCUAAACAUGUUUGUAAACUUAAUUUUAUUUUUUUAUAAAUGAAAAAAAAAAUCUAAAUGAGUAAGGCUUUAUUAAUUUUAAUUUUUUUCUUUUCCUUAUAUUUUCUUAUUUUAUUCCAAAUUUUCUUGCAACCAAACAUAAUCUAAAUGUUUACAACUUUUAUUGUAAGGAAUGAAUGACACUACUUUGUGAACUUUUAUGAUAAUAUUUUGAAUCAUAAAUUGUGUUUUUUUUAGUAAUAUCAAUUUUAUUACCAAUGACUUAAUUGUUAAUAACAAAAUAUAAUAUUUAUAAAUAUUUUUAUUCUCAACAGGCUACAAUUUUUACUCUUGUGAUAAAAAAAAUUUUGUCAUAAAUUACACAUUAUGAUGAGUUUUUCUAUUUUCCUUAUCAGCCAAUUCAACAAAUAUCAUAUAUAUUGUAAUGGCUAACAAAUUUUCACAUAAAUUUUUUAUAAGAUAAAGUAGAAUGGAAUUAUUCAAUUUCAAAAAAAAAAAAAAUGGUACCUAAUGAAAAAGAUAAAAUAUAUAGAUCAUCUCGAAGAAAUCAGGAAAGAUAAAUGAUGAGACCAUAUAUAGGACCCUUGAUGGAGACUAUUUUAAUUGAAGUGGUGUGCUCCUUCCGACUCAGAACAUGUUCAGCAUUGCACACAAACUAACAUCGUCGAUCUUGAGUAUGAAAAAGGUGAUUAGAUUCCAAGGUUGUCGUUUGUCCCAACUCCUCAUAUUAGAGGUGAUGCUCAAGCUAACGUGCCUCGCAGUUGAGCCCCGGCCAAUCGGUCUAAUAUGCUUUUCCAAUGGUGAGUUUCACUGCCACCAUGUAUUACAUUAAUUCCGAUAGCGCACAAGUUGUGUUUGUGCUAUUGCUUUUUGCCCUCACAAACAUAUACACAAGAGACAUUCAGACCAGAUCUGUUCUACCAUCCUCUAGGAAAGCAUUGUAGGUCAUUUGAAAUUGGGAUUUCAGCACCAGAGUCAAAUUGCCUUCCUUCCUGAAAGAUGAGCAUUUUUUAUACUCUUACAUCGGCUUUUAUGGAAAUGAAAUCAGCUUCUCAUUCUGUUACAUUUUUCAAUUUUGCUGCCUAUAACUGCUCACUGCCUGUUUGUGAGACAUUAUCCAGAUUUUCCCUGAUCAAUUAUAGAGAGGUCAUUGGACUCAUCCAUGAUUGGAAUUUCCUGUUAUCAUUAUUUGCAAAUCAUCAACCAUUUGUCAUGAUAUCUUAAGUUAAGCUGAGCACGAAUUUCAGCUAAGAUCCUCAGAACUAGAAAUAUGCACUGCAGGUAUUACUUGAUAUGUGAAUAUCCAAUACAAUAUUUUUUUACUAAGAGGAAUACGAAUUUGAAACACUUUCCAAUAAUUUAUCAAGUCAUAUUUUCGUGCUGUCGUGAUACAUGUGUCUACUGUAUGCAUGGCUUUUCUUUUCUACACAUGCCUUUAUCUUUGCACAUGACUCUUUUGAUACACGCCAGCAUCAAGGCAAUUGCCUAAAUCUAAAUCACAUCCUUUGUGUCACGUCUUCCUUGUUACCACGGUCCUCUUGUACACCAUGGUCCCUUAAUGUAACUUGUGCCACAAGCCCUUUGUGCAUGAAUUCAAAUUGUUCAAUCAUUUCGCCAUUUACACCUUUUAAGGUCCAAUAAGCGUAUACAAGAGACUACACUCAUUCUAGAUGAUAAAGUACAUUCAACUAACUACUCUUGCUAAUGAGCAUAUCCAAGUCAAUACAUAAGAUUAAUUAUUACAUAUGGUAAUUGAAACCCUGUUUAAAUAAAUAGUGACACAAAUAUAAAAAAUAUAUAUAUUUAAAAAUAAAUAAAUAACAAUUUAGAGAAUUUCAUAACUUAGUAUCAAACCUAUUGUAGGAAAGAGUAUUAUACAAUGUAGGGUUUAGGAUCAAAGUUAACCUAAGAUCAAUUUUAAGUUUUAAGACCAAUUCAAAUUCAAAACUAAGGUUUUAAGUUUCAAAAAUAUAUCUCUUAAACCAAUUAAAUAGAAAAAAGAAAAUUACAAAGAAAAUUUCUUCCUCAUCGGUUUCUUUUAUCUUGAAAACUAAAGGAAAUAUAUAUCAAUAUUUGAGAUGGAAAUUCAUAAUCUUAGAAACACAAAGAACAAAGAGAGUAUGAAGAGACCAUACCAUGAGAGAUUUUCCAAAAGGUUGGUAAACCAUGGUAAUCACCUUUGAGUUUUGCUGAGAAAAACAAACCUUAAUUUUUAUUUUUAUUUUUUUAUCAUUUUUUCUCUUGUGGUGUACAUUUAAGAAAAACAAAUCUUAAAAAAAAAAAAAAAAAAACCAAAUAAUGCCAGAAUUUGGGUUGAGAAACACCCAAAAGAUAGUGGCCCAAUACAUGUGCCUAAGAAAAUCUUCAUGAGCCGAUAAACAUAGUCACAAAACUAGUAACAGCCUUGUAGCCAUAGUUGGUGUAGUAUGAGCAAGUGGGGUAUGAAGUAGGUAGGUGAGUAUUGCAAUGAAAUUUCCAGCACUGCUUCCUGAAUUAAGAAAUCACAUACCCAAGUCUUAGUCGUCGUCGUCGUACCGUGUGAGAACCGGGAAGAAUCUUUGCUCGUAGAGUGGCUUUUGUAGUCUUUCUUUAACAAUUACAAGUUAUCUGAAUUCCCUUCAUCCUCCUAUAUAAUAUUGUUUUUGGUCUUGUUCUUGUUGCAUUGUGGCUAGGCAUCUCCAUGGAAGGAAGGAGGAUGAAUCAAGUUCCUUUGUAUGAAUCAAUUUCUCUGCUCUUUUUCUUUUCAAUCCGUGAAUCGAAUCAUUGCUUAGUUCUUGCUUUAAUUUCUCCAUUUUCUGUUGGGUCUUUGACUGCAGGUUUAGCUCUGCAAGAGAACUGGGAAAUUUAAUGGUGACCUCCAAUCUAAUCGACUCUGCUUUGACUAAAAUUCUUGAGCUUCAAAGAGACCAAACAGCCUUGCUUUCCUCCGUUCAAUACAGAGUUUUUUAUCCAUCUCCCAAGUGCACAAUUGUAGCUUUUGUCUCUUCACCUGACUGCACUCAAAACCCUCUUCCUGGACAAGGAGAUUUAGUUCCGUCUCCUCUCUUUGACUUCCUCUGCACCGAAGAAUACAAGUCCGUCUCCAUUAACAGAGCUGCAUUAACCCUCUUUACCUCUUUCCACGAUCAUCUCUCUGGACUAAAAACUCAGGUCAAAAUAUGAUAGUUGUUUUUAUUUUCGUUUCCUUUUUGUUAACAAUUGUGAGACAUGAAACAGCUUGACCAUGAGAUCUCUCUCAUAGAGUCAAACUACCUGAAGAAGAAGAAGACGUUACACAUAUCCAUCUGCGUUGCAUCAUCGCAUUACCCAUUGAUCGGUUGUGAUUCAACUCUUAAUAGGAAGACAGUAGAACUGGUGUUGGUAUCUGUUUUUAGAUCAGCUUAUAUGUAUCUUGUUUCUAAAAAAGGUAAGUUUAGAAGUGAGAUUAAUGGGAUUAUUCUGACAUGGAUUCCAUAUGGUUACCUGUUUUGCAGUUGACUCAGAUUGAAGGUCAAUUAAUCAUCACUGGGCACUCCCUGGGAGGAUCCGUUGCUUCUCUCUUCACCUUAUGCCUGCUAGAUGGAAAUUUAUUAAAACCCAACUGCCGCCCCUUUUGUAUCACCUUUGGUUCACCCCUCAUCGGCGGCUUUGGCCUCCAACACUCCAUAUGGAAUUCUUUCUUCCUGCAUGUAGUGUCUAACCAAGACCCAGUCCCCGGUCUCUUCCUCCCAUCUGGCAGAGGCAGAUCUACGCCCACAUCCUCCCAUUCACAAACUACCGGUUACAAGCCCUUUGGGACAUAUCUCUUGUGCUCUGAACUUGGUUGUGCUUGUUUGGAAAAGCCUGAUUUAAUUUUGGGAUUGCUGAAAGUCAGAUCAUCCGAGGUUGCCGGAGGAUUGCAGGAUGUUGAUUAUGGGGAGAUUUUAAGAAACCUCAAGGAGAGGGCAAUCUGCAAGGGACUUCAGCAGGUGGGUGAAAGGUUUGCAGAUCCUUUUACAGCUGGGAUCAUCAUGGACCUUGAGAUAAUUGGAUUUGAUCAAACAAAGGUAAACAGCUAGCUUUCUCCCAUCUAAUGAUGUUAUGAAACAUGGUUUACACUUCACCAAAUACUGCAACAACUGCCCUAUUUAGAUUUGCCGUCUUGUUCUUUGGGAUCUUCCAUAACUAGACUCAUUUUUUAAUUUCAUGGCAGCUGCUGCAGCAUAACAUUGAUAUCGAGACUGUGAUAAGCACAAUGGAAGAGGAAGCCAGAAACCCAACCAAAAAAAAUAAAGCUUUCGAUGCCAAGAUUCUGAAUCACAAAAAAAAAGACAUGGCCGGGCUAGAAUGGUAUAAGAAGAAAUCAAAAGAUCUGAACAAGGGUUACUACGACUGCUUCAAAAACCAGGGGUCAAAAAGGGACAUUAAAAUUGAACAGUAUGGGGGACACCUCACAUUAUACUGGAAAGACAUGGUUGCACAAGUACAGAGGAAGCCCCAGAAGGAAGGAGCAACAUUUCGAACCCGUUGGCUCUAUGCAGGGACGGUUUAUAGAAGAAUGGUUGAACCACUGGACAUUGCUGCCUUCUACGUAGAGGGUGGAACAGACUACAUGAAGAAUGAAAGAUCUCUUCAUUACAAGCUGUUGCAGCAAUGGUAUGAGGAAGAUGUGAAACCCCCCUCUAAGGAUAAGCUUGAUUCCAAGAAGCAAAAGGUGUCUGGUAUCCUAACUGAGGAUUCUUGCUUUUGGGCACAUGUGGAGGAGGCUAUCUUGUCAUGCGAAUUGCUUAAGAGUGAAAACUGUACUCUUGAGCAGGAAAAAUCAUCAUGGGAUAAUCUGGUUAAGUUCGAGGAGUAUGUAAUGGAACAGAUUAACAACUAUGCAGUGUCCCCUGAGAUUUUCUUGGGGGAAAGCAGCUUCAUGAAAUGGUGGGGACUGUAUGAGGGCUACAUAUAUGCUCGCAGUAAUUCCCAUAGGUCACCAUUGAUCAGCUUUAUGAAGAACGGUAGUUAUACAGAGUAUCGUUAGAGGGGUAAUCCAGUUUGUGUGUUGUGUGUAUUGUUUUGUGAGCAUUCAAUGGAUAGAACUAGAAAGAGUGUGACCUUUUUCCUUUUUUUCUUCUAGUUGCUGCCCAUAUUCUCAGCACUAUUUUCUUCCUUCUUUUCCUCAGUUUUUUCUUAAGAAAUGAAUAUUAUGAUGUUGCUGGGAUGCACUUUCAUUUUUGUUCCAUUACAUUGUGUUUUAUUCAUAUCCUAAACAAAUAAAUGUAAACAAGAAAAUCAAAUAAGACUUCAAAGAGUCUGUUCCUUUUAAAGCAAGGGAAAAAAAGGACAUGUUUGUUUACUUCCACAGCUGGGUAGAUUCAACUCCACCAAAAUUGGCAACAACUUCCCAUUGAAAAAUUCCUUCUAAGCUUGAAUGACAUAAAACUAGAUAUGUUCCAGCUAGAAUGGUACAAAAAAGAAAUCAAAAGAUGAGCACAAUGGGUUAUUAUGACAGCUUUAGAAACCAUCUUACAACACAUCCAUCAGAAUUUAGACUAUUCAUAGAAACAUUCUUAACAUGUAAAUCUACUAUUGCCAUGCACGUCAACAUAGAAUUUCUAAAAUGAUUGAAUAAAAUAAAUAAAACAAAAGAAACCCUUCCAAGAGAAUUUCAUAAUCUAAUGUCAAAUCUAUUACGAAGAUGAACAUGUAAAAUUUAAGGUUUAUAAUCAAAGUCGACUUGAAUCUGAGUUUUAAAACCAAUUUGCAGUUUUUAAGUUUGGAGACUAGAUCUCUUAAACCAAUUAAAUGUAAAAAACUAAAAAGAAAACUUCUUCAAAUUUUGAAAUGAGAAUGAGAAUGCAAUUCCUAACUAGUUUCUUCAUCAAAAAUCCCGAAAAAAAAAAAAAAAGAAGAGAGAGAGAGACCAUAGACGCCAGUGUUUGGGUUUAGAACCACCCAAGAGAGAGUAGUCCAAUAUAUGGGCUUAAGAAAAUCCUCAUGGGCCUAAGCUAAGACUAGGAACAAUCUUGUAUCCGUGGUUGGUUUAGUAUGAGCAUGUGUACUGCGAAGGAAGUAGCUGAGAAUUGCAAUGGAAUUUCCAGUACUGCUUCCUGAACGAACAAAUCGCAUACCCAAGAUUUGGUCGUCAACGCCAUGCUGGGUGAGAACCGGGGAAGCAUCUUCGCUCGUUGACGAGCUUUUGUAGUCCUUCUUUAACAAUUAUAAGGCAUCUGAAUUCCCUUCAUCCUCCCACACCAUUGUUUUUGGUCUUGUUCUUGUUGCUUUGUGACUACGCAUCUCCAUGGAAGGAAGGAGGAUGAACCAAGUUCCUUUGUAUGCAUCAAUUUUACUGUUUUUUUUUUCCUUUUUAAUCUUUGGAUCGAAUCAUUGCUUAGUUCUUGCUUAAUUUCUCCAUUUUAUGUUGGGUCUUUGAUUGCAGGUUUAGCUCUGCGCGAGAACUGGGAAAUUUAAUUGUGACCUCCAAUCUAAUCGACUCUGCUUUGACUAAAAUUCUUGAGCUUCAAAGAGACCAAACAGCCUUGCCUUCCCCCGUUCAAUACAGAGUUUUUUAUCCAUCUCCCAAGUGCACAAUUGUAGCUUUUGUCUCUUCACCUGACUGCACUCAAAACCCUCUUCCUGGACAAGGAGAUUUAGUUCCCUCUCCUCUCUUUGACUUCCUCUGCACCGAAGAAUACCCUUCCGUCUCCAUUAACGGAGCCGCAUUAACCCUCUUUACCUCUCUCUACGAUCAUCUCUCUGGACUAAUAGAUGAGGUCAAAAUCUGAUACUUGUUUUAAUUUACGUUAACUUUUCGUUAACAAUUGUGAGACACGUAUAUAUAUAUAUAUAUAUAUAUAUCUUGUGGAUAAAAGGAAAGUUUACAAGUGAGAAUAGUGGCAUUUUUCUGACAGAUUUCACACCGUUGCUUGUUUUGCACUUGACUGUGAUUGAAGGUCGAUUAAUCAUCACUGGGCACUCGAUGGGAGGAUCCGUUGCUUCUCUCUUCACCUUAUGCCUGCUAGAAGUCAUUAAUAUAUCAAAACCCAAAUGCCGCCCCAUUUGCAUCACAUUUGGUUCACCCCUCAUAGGCGACUUUGGCUUCCAACACUCCAAUUGGAAUUCUUUCUUCUUGCAUGUAGUGUCCAACCAAGAUCUAGUCCCCGGACUCUUCCUCCCAUCCGGCAGAUCUCCUCCCACAUCCUCCCAUUCACAAACUACUGGUUACAAGCCCUUUGGGACAUAUCUCUUGUGCUCUGAACUUGGUUGUGCUUGUUUUGACAACCCUGAUUUAAUUUUGGAAUUGCUGAAAGUCAUAUCAUCAGAGGUUGCCGGAGGAUUGCGGGAUGUUGAUUACAGGAAGAUUUUAAUAAACCUCAAGGAGAGGGCAAUCUUCAAGGGACUUCAGCAGGUGGGUGAAAGGUUUGCAGAUCCCUUGUCAGCUGGGAUCAUCAUGGACCUUGAGAUAAUUGGAUUUGAUCAAACAAAGGUAAACAGCUUUCUCCCAAUUAAUGAUGUAGCAUGGUUUACACUCAACUUCACCAAAACCUGCAACAACUGCCCUAUUUAGAUUUGCCUUCCGGUUCUUUGGGUUCUUCUAUAACUUCUCAUUUUUUAAAUCCAUGGCAGCUGUUGCGGCACAACAUUGAUAUCAACACUGUGAUAAGGAUACUGGGAGCGGAAGCCAGAAUCCUAGCCCACAAAAAUAAAGCUUCUGAUGCCAAGAAACUGAAUGACAUAAAAAUACACAUGGCCCAGCUAGAAUGGUAUAAGAAGAAAUCAAAAGAUCUGAACAAGGGUUACUACGACUGCUUCAAAAACCAGGGGUUAAAAAGGGACAUUAAAAUUGAACAGUAUAGGGGACACCUCACAAUAUACUGGAAAGACAUGGUUGCACAAGUACAGAGGAAGCCCCAGAAGGAAGGAGCAUCAUUUCGAACCAGUUGGCUCUAUCCAGGGACAACUUAUAGAAGAAUGGUUGAACCACUGGACAUUGCUGCCUUCUACAGAGAGGGUAGAACAGACUACAUAAACAAUGGAAGAUCUCCUCAUUACAAGCUGUUGCAGCAAUGGUAUGAGGAAGAUGUGAAGCCCCCAUCCAGAGAUAAGCUCGAUUCCAAGAAACUAAAGGUGUCUGGUAUCCUAACUGAGGAUUCUUUGUUUUGGGCACAUGUGGAGGAGGCUCUCUUGUCAUGCGAAUCGCUCAAGAGUGCAAACUCUACUCUUGAGCAGAGAAAAUCAUCAUGGGAUAAUCUGGUUAAGUUUGGGGAGUAUGUAAUGGAACAGAUUGGAAACUAUGCAGUGUCCCCUGAGAUUUUCUUGGGGGAAAGCAGCUUCAUGAAAUGGUGGGGAGUGUAUGAGGACUACAUAGAUGCUUCCAAUAAUUUCUAUGGGUCACCAUUGAUCAACUUUAUGAAGGACCGUAGUUAUAGACUGUAUGGUUAGAGGGCAAUCCAGUUUGUGUAUUGUGUUUAUUGUAUUGUGAGCAUUCAAUAGAUAAAACUAGAAAGAGCGUGACCUUUUUAUGACAACUUUAGAAACCAGGGGUUAAAAGAGACAUUACAAAUUGAAUUUUUUGAGAGGAAACCUCAAGAGUAUACUGGGAAGCCAUGGUGGAACAAGUAGAGAGGAAGCUUCGGAAGGAAGGAUCAAUGGUUGAACCACUUGACAUUGUUGCCUACUUCAGGGAGGGUGUAAGAAACAACAUAACCGAGGGAAGAUCUGAACAUUAAACAUUGUACAAUUAUUGUAAAUGUCUUAUACAUUACGUGUGAAAAUACCAAAAAAAAUUAUAUUCAACAUUUAUGUUUGUAUACAAGCAAUAUUUUGGAUAGUUUGAUAUAAAAAACAAAUGAAGAAAACGAAGAAAAACAUACAAAUAUAUUUACAAUGGACAAACUUAUACAAUUAGUGUAAAUGUCUUGUAUAUUUAGUACAAAAGUCUCGUACUUUGUAAAAAUAUAAAAAUAUAGUAUUUGACUUUUAUAUAUGUGUGAAAAUGUAAAAGGAAAAAGAAAAAUAGUUAGAGCAUUUGGUACCGUGAGUGAUGACUUCACCUAAAGAAAGGUUAAUGAAUAUUAUGGUCUCGAUGGAAGAGCGACUCCGGUAAAAUAUAUGGAUUAAAUUGAUGCUUUUCUUUUGACGAUGAAGUAGUUGAGUUAUGAAUACGAGGUUUUGCUAACAACAUUGAAGGCAAGGAUUCCCUAAUAUACUCCAAUUCAUAUUCAAUUUGUAGACCUUCAACUAACUACUCUUGCUAAUGAGCAUAUCCAAGUGAAUACAUAAGAUUAAUUAUUACAUAUGAUAAUUGAAACCCUGUUUAAAUAAAUAGUGACACAAAUAUAAAAAAUAUAUAUAUUUAAAAAUAAAUAAAUAAUAAUUUAGAGAAUUUCAUAACUUAGCAUCAAACCUAUUGUAGGAAAGAGUAUUAUACAAUGUAGGGUUUAGGAUCAAAGUUAACCUAAGAUCAAAUUUAAGUCUUAAGACCAAUUCACAUUCAAAACUAAGGUUUUAAAUUUCAAAAAUAUAUCUCUUAAACCAAUUAAAUGGAAAAAAGAAAAUUACAAAGAAAAUUUCUUCCUCAUCGGUUUCUUUUAUCUUGAAAACUAAAGGAAAUAUAUAUCAAUAUUUGAGAUGGAAAUUCAUAAUCUUAGAAACACAAAGAACAAAGAGAGUAUGAAGAGACCAUACCAUGAGAGAUUUUCCAAAAGGUUGGUAAACCAUGGUAAUCACCUUUGAGUUUUGCUGAGAAAAACAAACCUUAAUUUUUAUUUUUAUUUUUUUAUCAUUUUUUCUCUUGUGGUGUACAUUUAAGAAAAACAAAUCUUAAAAAAAAAAAAAAAAAAACCAAAUAAUGCCAGAAUUUGGGUUGAGAAACACCCAAAAGAUAGUGGCCCAAUACAUGUGCCUAAGAAAAUCUUCAUGAGCCGAUAAACAUAGUCACAAAACUAGGAACAGCCUUGUAGCCAUAGUUGGUGUAGUAUGAGCAAGUGGGGUAUGAAGUAGGUAGGUGAGUAUUGCAAUGAAAUUUCCAGCACUGCUUCCUGAAUUAAGAAAUCACAUACUCAAGUCUUAAUCGUUGUCAUCAUACCGUGUGAGAACCGAGGAAGAAUCUUUGCUCUUAGACUGGAUUUUGUAGUCUUUCUUUAACAAUUACAAGUUAUCUGAAUUCCCUUCAUCCUCCUAUAUAAUAUUGUUUUUGGUCUUGUUCUUGUUGCAUUGUGGCUAGGCAUCUCCAUGGGAGGAAGGAGGAUGAAUCAAGUUCCUUUGUAUGAAUCAAUUUCUCUGCUCUUUUUUUUUUCAAUCCUUGAAUCGAAUCAUUGCUUAGUUCUUGCUUUAAUUUCUCCAUUUUCUGUUGGGUCUUUGAUUGCAGGUUUAGCUCUGCAAGAAAACUGGGAAAUUUAAUUGUGACCUCCAAUCUAAUCGACUCUGCUUUGACUAAAAUUCUUGAGCUUCAAAGAGACCAAACAGCCUUGCCUUCCCCCGUUCAAUACAGAGUUUUUUAUCCAUCUCCCAAGUGCACAAUUGUAGCUUUUGUCUCUUCACCUGACUGCACUCAAAACCCUCUUCCUGGACAAGGAGAUUUAGUUCCCUCUCCUCUCUUUGACUUCCUCUGCACCGAAGAAUACAAGUCCGUCUCCAUUAACAGAGCUGCAUUAACCCUCUUUACCUCUCUCCACGAUCAUCUCUCUGGACUAAAAACUCAGGUCAAAAUAUGAUAGUUGUUUUUAUUUUCGUUUCCUUUUUGUUAACAAUUGUGAGACAUGAAACAGCUUGACCAUGAGAUCUCUCUCAUAGAGUCAAACUACCUGAAGAAGAAGAAGACGUUACACAUAUCCAUCUGCGCUGCAUCAUCGCAUUACCCAUUGAUCGGUUGUGAUUCAACUCUUAAUAGGAAGACAGUAGAACUGGUGUUGGUAUCUGUUUUUAGAUCAGCUUAUAUGUAUCUUGUUGCUAAAAAGGGAAAGUUUAGAAGUGAGAUUAAUGGGAUUAUUCUGACAUGGAUUUCAUAUGGUUACCUGUUUUGCAGUUGACUGUGAUUGAAGGU